rnacentral:tRNA from 1 species
GCCUGCAUACUCAAGAAGUUAAGAGGACAGUCUGCAAAACUGUUAUUCAUAGGUGCAAAUCCUAUUGCAGGCUUA